AGAGUUUGAUCCUGGCUCAGGACGAACGCUGGCGGCGUGCUUAACACAUGCAAGUCAAGGGGGCCCAGCAAUGGGCAACCGGCGAACGGGUGCGUAACACGUGAGCAACCUACCGAACUGUGGGGGAUAGCCGGCCUAACGGCCGAGUAAUACCGCAUACGCUUUCAGUGAGGCAUUUCAUUGAAAGGAAACCUACGGGACAGAUCGAGGGGCUCGCGGCCUAUCAGCUAGUUGGCGAGGUAACGGCUCACCAAGGCAACGACGGGUAGCUGGUCUGAGAGGAUGGCCAGCCACAUUGGGACUGAGAUACGGCCCAGACUCCUACGGGAGGCAGCAGUGGGGAAUCUUGCGCAAUGGCCUAACGGCUGACGCGGCGACGCCGCGUGUGGGAUGAAGCUUUUCGGAGUGUAAACCACUGUUGCCCGGGACGAACAGCUCGAUUAAUCGAGCCUGACGGUACCGGGUGAGGAAGCACCGGCUAACUCCGUGCCAGCAGCCGCGGUAAUACGGGGGGUGCGAGCGUUGUCCGGAAUCACUGGGCGUAAAGGGCGCGUAGGUGGUCUGAUAAGGGUGUGGUGAAAGUCCGGGGCUCAACCCCGGAUCUGCCGUGCCGACUGUCAGACUCGAGGACUGUAGAGGCAGACGGAAUUCCGGGUGUAGCGGUGGAAUGCGUANAGAUCCGGAGGAAGACCGGUGGCGAAG
rnacentral:rRNA from 1 species